UACGGAGGGUGCAAGCGUUAAUCGGAAUUACUGGGCGUAAAGCGUGCGCAGGCGGUUUUGUAAGUCUGACGUGAAAUCCCCGGGCUCAACCUGGGAAUUGCGUUGGAGACUGCAAGGCUAGAAUCUGGCAGAGGGGGGUAGAAUUCCACGUGUAGCAGUGAAAUGCGUAGAGAUGUGGAGGAACACCGAUGGCGAAGGCAGCCC
rnacentral:rRNA from 1 species